rnacentral:rRNA from 1 species
ACGAUGAAGAACGCAGCGAAGUGCGAUAAGCAAUGCGAAUUGCAGAGCCGAGAGUCAUCAGAUUUUUGAACGUAACUGACACCGGAGAGUUCUCUCUUCGGUAUGCUUCUUUCAGCGUGUGAUUUUCUCAUCACCCAAACCUUAAUGCGAUAGAUGCCCUUCUAUUGCUAAGCUUGAAAGCACUCUGAACCCUGCAGCGAAAGUCUUCGGACUGACGCACUCAAUGCAGUAGUCACAUUCUCAAAUGUGAACUCAUUGAGCGUAGAGUCAGUGCAUGUUUACAUGCCAGUGCUUGGACACUUAAAUUUUAUCAGCACCUGAGAUGAAGUAGGAGGACCCGCUGUACUUAAGCAUAUCAUUAAGCGGAGGAAAAGAAACUAACUAGGAUUCCCUCAGUACGGGCGACGGAAGCGGGAAAAGCCCACAUUGGUAAUCUCCGAGCUUGGGCUCGGCGAAUUGUAAUCUGAAGAUCGCUAGUCUAAUUGGAUCAGGCGUCAAAGUGCGCACGAGCGCGCCGCCAUAGAGGGUGAGAGCCCCGUACGACGCAGGAUCCUACCAAGGCUGGUGUUCGAAGAGUCGUGUACUUUGAUACUAGUGCACUAAGCGGGAGAUAAACUUCUUCUAAGGCUAAAUAUAAGUAGGAAACCGAUAGCGAACAAGUACUGUGAAGGAAAGAUGAAAAGCACUUUGGAAAGAAAGUUAAAAGACUUGAAAUCGUUGAGGCGGACCCGGUAGAAAUGUAUUCUAGCGAAGCGCUCUGGGAAGCCUCUACGAGGGCCACUUGAGCGCUAGCCGAGACAAGAUGGAGUCGCCUGAUGCCAGAGGCUGUGUGCGAGCGCGCUUGCGUGAGCGCAUGCUAGUCGGGUGUUAGGCGGCUUGAGGGGCCUUGAGCGAUCUUGUCAAAAUGGUUUUUACCGACUCGUCUUGAAACACGAACCAAGGAGUCUAAGACUAACGCGAGUAUGGUGGUGGAGAAACCAACAUGCGAAAUGAAAGUAAAUGAUGCCAAGCUCCCUGCAGCAUCGACCGACUUUUUUCUUCUGGAAGAGGUUUGAGUAAGAGCGUUAUUCUUAGGACCCGAAAGAUGGUGAACUAUGCCUGUGUAGGGUGAAGUCAGGGGAAACUCUGAUGGAAGCUCGUAGCGAUACUGACGUGCAAAUCGUUCGUCGAACAUGGGUAUAGGGGCGAAAGACUAAUCGAACCAUCUAGUAGCUGGUUCCCUCCGAAGUUUCCCUCAGGAUAGCUGGGACAAGUGCGCAGUUUUAUUAGGUAAAGCGAAUGAUUAGAGGCAUCGGGGUUAAAAUGACCUUGACCUAUUCUCAAACUUUAAAUUGGUAAGAACUCCCGUCUUUUCUUAAUUGAAGCAGGAGGUUCAAUGCGUGUCCUUAGUGGGCCAUUUUUGGUAAGCAGAACUGGCGAUGAGGGAUGCUCCUAACGUCGGGUUAAGGUGCCAAACUACACGCUCAUCAGAAACUACAAAGGGUGUUAGUUUAUGAAGACAGCAGGACGGUGGCCAUAGAAGUCGGAACCCGCUAAGGAGUGUGUUACAACUCACCUGCCGAAUGAACUAGUCCCGAAAAUGGAUGGCGCUAAAGCGUGUGACCGAUACCCGACCAUUGGUGCGAGAGUUAUGCAUCAAUGAGUAGGAGGGCGUGGGCGUCGUGGCGAAGCCUCUAGCGUGAGCUUGGGUUGAACGGCGUCUAGUGCAGAUCUUGGUGGUAGUA